AGCCCGAGUAAACGGCGGCCGUAACUAUAACGGUCCUAAGGUAGCGAAAUUCCUUGUCGGUUAAAUACCGACCUGCAUGAAUGGCGUAACGAGAUGGGAGCUGUCUCAACCAGAGAUUCAGUGAAAUUGUAGUGGAGGUGAAAAUUCCUCCUACCCGCGGCAAGACGGAAAGACCCCGUGA
rnacentral:rRNA from 1 species